AGUGAACGCUGGCGGUAGGCCUAACACAUGCAAGUCGAACGGCAGCACAGUAAGCGCUUGCUCUUACGGGUGGCGAGUGGCGGACGGGUGAGGAAUACAUCGGAAUCUACUUUUUCGUGGGGGAUAACGUAGGGAAACUUACGCUAAUACCGCAUACGACCUACGGGUGAAAGCAGGGGAUCUUCGGACCUUGCGCGAUUGUAUGAGCCGAUGUCGGAUUAGCUAGUUGGCGGGGUAAAGGCCCACCAAGGCGACGAUCCGUAGCUGGUCUGAGAGGAUGAUCAGCCACACUGGAACUGAGACACGGUCCAGACUCCUACGGGAGGCAGCAGUGGGGAAUAUUGGACAAUGGGCGCAAGCCUGAUCCAGCCAUACCGCGUGGGUGAAGAAGGACUUCGGGUUGUAAAGCCCUUUUGUUGGGAAAGAAAAGCAGCAGGUUAAUACCCCGCUGUUCUGACGGUACCCAAAGAAUAAGCACCGGCUAACUUCGUG
rnacentral:rRNA from 1 species